rnacentral:rRNA from 1 species
GAUGAACGCUGGCGGCGUGCUUAACACAUGCAAGUCGAACGAAACACCUUAUUUGAUUUUCUUCGGAACUGAAGAUUUGGUGAUUGAGUGGCGGACGGGUGAGUAACGCGUGGGUAACCUGCCCUGUACAGGGGGAUAACAGUCAGAAAUGACUGCUAAUACCGCUUAAGACCACAGCACCGCAUGGUGCAGGGGUAAAAACUCCGGUGGUACAGGAUGGACCCGCGUCUGAUUAGCUGGUUGGUGAGGUAACGGCUCACCAAGGCGACGAUCAGUAGCCGGCUUGAGAGAGUGAACGGCCACAUUGGGACUGAGACACGGCCCAAACUCCUACGGGAGGCAGCAGUGGGGAAUAUUGCACAAUGGGGGAAACCCUGAUGCAGCGACGCCGCGUGAGUGAAGAAGUAUUUCGGUAUGUAAAGCUCUAUCAGCAGGGAAGAAAAUGACGGUACCUGACUAAGAAGCCCCGGCUAACUACGUG